rnacentral:rRNA from 1 species
UACGAAGGGGGCUAGCGUUGUUCGGAAUCACUGGGCGUAAAGGGCGCGUAGGCGGCCGAUCAAGUCGGGGGUGAAAGCCUGUGGCUUAACCACAGAAUGGCCUUCGAUACUGUUUGGCUUGAGACCGGAAGAGGUUAGUGGAACUGCGAGUGUAGAGGUGAAAUUCGUAGAUAUUCGCAAGAACACCAGUGGCGAAGGCGGCUGACUGGUCCUGUUCUGACGCUGAGGCGCGAAAGCGUGGGGAGCAAACAGG